rnacentral:rRNA from 1 species
CCUACGGGAGGCAGCAGUGGGGAAUAUUGGACAAUGGGCGCAAGCCUGAUCCAGCCAUGCCGCGUGUGUGAAGAAGGCCUUCGGGUUGUAAAGCACUUUUAUCCGGAAAGAAAAGCUUUGGGUUAAUACCCUGAAGUCAUGACGGUACCGGAAGAAUAAGCACCGGCUAACUUCGUGCCAGCAGCCGCGGUAAUACGAAGGGUGCAAGCGUUACUCGGAAUUACUGGGCGUAAAGCGUGCGUAGGUGGUUUGUUAAGUCUGAUGUGAAAGCCCUAGGCUCAACCUGGGAAUUGCAUUGGAUACUGGCAGGCUAGAGUGCGGUAGAGGAUAGUGGAAUUCCCGGUGUAGCAGUGAAAUGCGUAGAGAUCGGGAGGAACAUCUGUGGCGAAGGCGACUAUCUGGGCCAGCACUGACACUGAGGCACGAAAGCGUGGGGAGCAAACAGGAUUAGAUACCCUGGUAGUCCACGCCCUAAACGAUGCGAACUGGAUGUUGGGUGCAACUAGGCACUCAGUAUCGAGACGUACGACGUUAGUUACGCCGUCCGUCGGGUAGGUUACGGUUCGUCGAGACGUAGAACGUUACGAAGUAGAAGUUAGACGGCGUUGAGGACGUUGCCGACGGACGACCGACCGAGGGGAGGUUAGGAG